GGUUGUUCAGCAUCCCCAGUAGCUCUGUAAGAGGGGUCAAAAGGUUGUUCAGCAUCCCCAGUAGCUCUGUAAGAGGGGUCAACAGGUUGUUCAGCAUCCCCAGUAGCUCUGUAAGAGGGGUCAAAAGGUUGUUCAGCAUCCCCAGUAGCUCUGUAAGAGGGGUCAAAAGGUUGUUUAGCAUCCCCAGUAGCUCUGUAAGAGGGGUCAAAAGGUUGUUCAGCAUCCCCAGUAGCUCUGUAAGAGGGGUCAAAAGGUUGUUCAGCAUCCCCAGUAGCUCUGUAAGAGGGGUCAAAAGGUUGUUCAGUAUCCCCAGUAGCUC